CCUACGGGAGGCAGCAGUGGGGAAUAUUGGGCAAUGGGCGCAAGCCUGACCCAGCAACGCCGCGUGAAGGAAGAAGGCUUUCGGGUUGUAAACUUCUUUUGUCAGGGACGAAGCAAGUGACGGUACCUGACGAAUAAGCCACGGCUAACUACGUGCCAGCAGCCGCGGUAAUACGUAGGUGGCAAGCGUUAUCCGGAUUUACUGGGUGUAAAGGGCGUGUAGGCGGGGAGGCAAGUCAGAUGUGAAAACCACGGGCUCAACCUGUGGCCUGCCUUUGAAACUGUUUUUCUUGAGUGCUGGGGAGGCAAUCGGAAUGCCGGGUGUAGCGGUGAAAUGCGUAGAUAUACGGAGGAACACCAGUGGCGAAGGCGGAUUGCUGGACAGUAACUGACGCUGAGGCGCGAAAGCGUGGGGAGCAAACAGGAUUAGAUACCCGAGUAGUC
rnacentral:rRNA from 1 species